GACGCUCUGGACUGGACUUGAAAGAGGGAGGGUUGACAAGGAGUGACAGGAUAAACAAUAAGAUGGACAAUCUUUGAAUCUGUAAAAAGACUAGCCACCUUAUAACAGAGCCCUCUCACAUUCAGAGAUGGCAACUGUGCUGAGAGACAAUUCUCAGCACAAUUGCCUAAGAGGAUUCUCAGGCAAUACCGAUUAGAAGUUAAGCUGGAUAACUGCUUCGAGGGACAAUAUGGACAUAGGAAGCCAAGAGAUUUUAAAAGGUUAAUAUCCUGAAGUGGAGGACCUGUUAUUGAGGGGAAGAAAUCAUAUUUGGAGCAAUGAUUUAGACACAAGGAAAUUUAUCUACAAUACUAAAACAAAGCAAAACAACAACUUAAAUGCCAAGGAGUAAAGAUGAGUCGAGUGUAUUCUAGAACAUUCAGAUGAUGAGACAUUUUGUGGUUAUCAUACAUCAAGUCUUCACUACUUAUUGGCACAGGAAGAUGCGCUAGUAUAAUAGCUAUCUUUUAAGAAAAAAUUAAAUUUACCAUAUUUCUUUAUUUCUAAGAUGCUAACAACUCAAAGAGGCACUGGAUGCUUAAGAAAAGUCUUUUAAGAAGAAAUAAUAGAACAUUAAACAUUCAUCAAUUGUAAAACCCAUCCUGACUUAAGAAACAUGAUAAAGUAAGAGACAUGUGCCUUAGAAUAGAAAAAAUAUAGUAUAUCUUACAAUUUUUUUUUCUUUUACUUUUUUGUAUUUCUCAAAUCUUUUACCAGUAAACGUGAUUGGGUUGGGGAAAAUGCCUGGAUUCAAGUCUGAUGUUUCCUUCCUUGGGAAGGUAACCCUGAGGUUUUUCUAGGCCCCCGACUCACUCUGCCCUGGGAGGCUGAAGGAGUUACUUGCUUGGUGGUAUAGGAGAGACACGGAUUGCCCAAAUCCCGCCACUCCCCUUCCUCUAGAGAGUCAACCUACUAUCCAAGAGCAAGUCUUCUGGAUUGUCCUAGCUCAUGGCUGGAGUGCAAUAGUGUGAUUGCAGCUCACUGCAGCCUUGAACUCCUGGUCUCAAGCAAUCUUCCCACCUUGGCCUCCCAAAGUGCUACAAUUACAGGUGUGAACCACCACUCAG
rnacentral:lncRNA from 1 species